ensembl:snoRNA
UGCACAUGUGUGUGUUCAACUGGUGGAUAAAGGUAUGAAAGAGGUGAAGUGCAGAAAUAAAUCCUCUUUUGCAACUCAGAAUUCAGUGUUCAGUAUGAGUUUUUAUAUAUACAGAAAGCGUUAUA